ensembl:lncRNA
CGCGCCAGUUGCUGGGAGGCCGGCAGAGGAGGCUCCUGGGGAAGGAAGUCACGUGACCGAACGCUGCGCUUCCGGGCGAGUCCCCGCCCUGGAGGGACAGCCUCCUUCAGGUUUUGGGACGAACUUGCUCCUUAAAACGCCUCUGGCAAAAAUCUGGGGAACAGUGGCAGAAAGUUUAGUUGGAAGAAAUAGGGCGAAGGCACACUUCCGUUCAGUUUAGAGAAACGGAAGCCAGGAAAGGAACGAGGGCAACUUUAGUGAUAAAAUCCAUUUCACUGCUUGUUUCCAUCGCUUGGUAACUUGGAAAUUGCUCCCACAUACAUCUUUUCAGGUGCUAGAGACCACUUCCUGAGAGCUGGCGUUUGGGAUGGGCGUGGAAAGAUGGAAGGAUGCAGACCUGGAGUAAGAGGGCCCGACUCUCACUGCUUCCCUGUGAUUCCUUGUGGUCCAUGACAUCCUGGUGAGGAGUGAAGAUGAGAUCUAGCACCUGGUGGGGGCUCCUCAGGAAUGACCUAAGUCAUACAAAGCCCUUGCUGUUUGUUUUGAGGAAAAGAGACUUCAGCCCCAGUAACACCCAAGACAGGCGGCGGAACCACUGAGCUAAAUCCCUGGCCCAUGCUGAUUAAUUUUUAAACAUUAUUUUAUAACCAUACAAAAGAGGGAAUCAUCAAGAAAAAUCCACUAAGUAGAAGUCUUGCUAAUUAUAAACAGCCAAUCUUCCCCCGUGUCAUGUACCAGCAAGGACUCUUCAGAAUGGCUGGCGAGGAUGAGCGUAUGCUGACGCGUUCCUUGUUCCCUCAAAGCAGUGCACAGCCAAGCUUGAAAAAUCUUUAGAGACGAGAAGUCUUCAGUCCGUACUUCCCCAUUUAGCUUGGCAUGGUGUACUACAAUAAAGUGCUUAUUUUUCAACUGAGUGACUCUGUUACAUAGAGAGAUGAAAAGAAAAUAUAUUGUCUGUGCUUGCAUAAGAGAUACUUCAGAAACCAGAGAACUAAAUAAGCGUGUAACUGUCUUCUUCCCAUGUUCGUUAGCUGUUACUGCUAACACUUUUCAGACUGAACUGUUUGAAUAAAGCAUAUUGCAAAGAUCUUUAUAAUCCCCGCUGCCUACAAAGUGAGGUCAAAUGAUAUGACACAAAACUCAGCCUGCACAAUCCUCUUCUAUUUCUAGUUAACACUGUCAUUAAUCCACAAAGAAUUAAACAGAGGGGAACAAUUUAUAGACGUUCUCCUCCAAUUCCAAUGAUUCCCAUUGGUAACAGAACUGAAAUGUUAGCACUUGGCAGCUGUACUGAAAACGUUUCAGGUUGGGCAGUUGAGAUAAAAUCAUGACUAAACACUUGCCAAAUCCACCCUCACUUACCUACUCUCAUCAUUACCUCCCCCAAUAAUCCCUCAAAUAAAAAAUGAGUCAAACCCAAAUUUAAAGUAUAGGAGCUAAAGAAUCAAAACAAAUUAGCCAAGACUUGGGGGCAUGAGCCAGAUCAGAGACACUUGCUCACUGUCUUCUAUUUUCCAAUUAGUAGCAGAUGUGCCCUUGUCAACCAACUAUGCAAGAGUUGAUGGCAAAGACAAAAUGUUUUGGAAAACUGCUUAGAGCAGCGAAUCUUGGAGCAACAGUAGUAUCAGUACUAAACCACAGUGUCUCAGAACCAACCACAUCAACCACACCCUCAUCUGUC